rnacentral:lncRNA from 1 species
CUCUGGUGGUUGUUAGCAAUGAAAAUAAAAUAAUUUUUUUUUUAUUUUCAGGCACCAGCCAAGCCCAAGUUCUCUAAGUGCGGAGCUGGCAUGUGCACGAGUGGCUGAUGAGCUGCGUCAGCCCAGACAAGCUUGACCAGGACACCAAGAUGUGGCUGUGGAUCUGGCUGCCUCAGCUGCAAACAACUUCUGUCAACUCCUAGAAGCUGACACGAGGCACUGAGAGGGGUCCAAGCCAGAAGUCCAGAUUCCAAACAUCCCUGAACUUUGGUGAAGUUCAAAUCAGAGCACACAUCUUUAGUGAGAAGAGGAAAGCUGUAACAUGAUCCAAGCCCUGGGCAAUAGAGGCUUCUCCCACCAGGACAGCAGCAUGAGGGCAGGCACAGCAGUUCAGCAGCAUGGCUUGGAUUAAACCCUUGCUGAAUGGUGGAGAGAGAAAGGGAGAAAGACAAGACUAUCUGGUUUGGGAUACUGCAGCCAAGAAGCCAACAGAAAGGUUUACUGAAGAAGUGUUUACAUGCAGAAAAGAGGUAAAAAAACCCCACCAGAAUAAAGUUCAAGCGGAUGCCAACAAACUGUGUUUGGUACGGUACAGCCUGUUGCUCCCAGCUGAAUUCAGAGGUGAGGAAAACAUUUUGCUGGGUCCAAGGACUCCCCGCUCAGGAAUGGGCUUCCCGCAGGGAUGAUGCACGGUGUUGCACAAGCACUUCACUGCUCACAAGUGAAAUAGGGGAUGUGUGGCAGCUGCUCACUGUUGCUCUCCCCUUUUAAUGUGCAUGUGGUAAGUCACAAAUUCAAAGCAAAAAGCUGCAUGAAAUGGAGCUGUAACUUUAUAUCUAAAUCUGUAACUGAGCAUCUUGGCCAUCAGCCACAAAAUGUCUGAUUAAUCCGUCUGAAAAAAAUGAGUUCAUAUUUCAAAAAUGAAAAGUUAAAAUCCAAGACCAACCCUUAAUUACCAAGCAAUGACCACAAAAAACCUCACAAAUCCCAAAUUCAAUUACCUGAAAUGUUAUUGCUUGAUAGUACUUUAGUCUUCUAAUUUGGACAUUAAAACAUUCCUUAGUAAGAACAGGGAAGGGCGAGACCAACACUUUUUCCUCUGCCAACAAACUGAGUCUUGCAGCUUUUGUUGAGCAAAACACUUUUUUAUUUCAGAUUAAUAUCUACUUAGACUACUUACCUUAUAACAUAGCUAAGUUACAAGGGAACAGGAAAUUGAAAAGAAAAAUAUUAAAGAAAAUACUGAAAUAAAAAAAGAAAAAAACCAAGUAUUCA